GGGGAUUUAGCUCAGUGGUAGAGCGCUUGCCUAGCAUGUGUGAGAACUGGGGCUUAAUCCCCA
rnacentral:tRNA from 1 species